rnacentral:rRNA from 1 species
GACGAACGCUGGCGGCGUGCUUAACACAUGCAAGUCGAACGGUGAACGAGGGAGCUUGCUCCCUCCGGAUCAGUGGCGAACGGGUGAGUAACACGUGAGCAAUCUGCCCCGAACUCUGGGAUAAGCGUUGGAAACGACGUCUAAUACCGGAUUCGACGCGGGAGGGCAUCCUCUCCGCGUGGAAAGAACUUCGGUUCGGGAUGAGCUCGCGGCCUAUCAGCUUGUUGGUGAGGUAACGGCUCACCAAGGCGACGACGGGUCGCCGGCCUGAGAGGGUGACCGGCCACACUGGGACUGAGACACGGCCCAGACUCCUACGGGAGGCAGCAGUGGGGAAUAUUGCACAAUGGGCGCAAGCCUGAUGCAGCAACGCCGCGUGAGGGACGACGGCCUUCGGGUUGUAAACCUCUUUUAGCAGGGAAGAAGCGAAAGUGACGGUACCUGCAGAAAAAGCACCGGCUAACUACGUG